CCUACGGGCGGCUGCAGUGGGGAAUAUUGGACAAUGGGCGAAAGCCUGAUCCAGCAAUGCCGCGUGAGUGAUGAAGGCCUUAGGGUUGUAAAGCUCUUUUACCAGGGAUGAUAAUGACGGUACCUGGAGAAUAAGCUCCGGCUAACUCCGUGCCAGCAGCCGCGGUAAUACGGAGGGAGCUAGCGUUGUUCGGAAUUACUGGGCGUAAAGCGCACGUAGGCGGUUUUGCAAGUCAGGGGUGAAAGCCCGGAGCUCAACAUCGGAAUUGCACUUGAAACUGGAUGACUAGAGGCUUGGAGAGGUCAGUGGAAUUCCGAGUGUAGAGGUGAAAUUCGUAGAUAUUCGGAAGAACACCAGUGGCGAAGGCGACUGACUGGACAAGUAUUGACGCUGAGGUGCGAAAGCGUGGGGAGCAAACAGGAUUAGAUACCCUAGUAGUC
rnacentral:rRNA from 1 species